rnacentral:rRNA from 1 species
UACGAAGGGGGCUAGCGUUGCUCGGAAUCACUGGGCGUAAAGAGCGCGCAGGCGGUCGAUCAAGUCGAGUGUGAAAGCCCCCGGCUCAACUGGGGAGGGUCAUUCGAUACUGAUCGACUCGAAGGCAGGAGAGGGUAGUGGAAUUCCCGGUGUAGUGGUGAAAUGCGUAGAUAUCGGGAGGAACACCAGUGGCGAAGGCGACUUCCUGGCCUGUUCUUGACGCUGAGGCGCGAAAGCUAGGGGAGCAAACGGG